rnacentral:sRNA from 1 species
GACUGUAGUAGUUGCAGAUGAAUCCUUAGGUCGCUGGUUCGAAUCCGGCAGGUCGGAUUAAUUUUU